UACGAAGGUCCCUAGCGUUGUUCGGAAUUAUUGGGCGUAAAGCGCUUGUAGGUGGCUUUGAAAGUCAGGUGUGAAAGCCCCGGGCUCAACCCGGGAAGUGCACUUGAAACUCCUUAGCUUGAGUACGGUAGAGGUGAGUGGAAUACCUGGUGUAGUGGUGAAAUACGUAGAUAUCAGGUGGAACAUCAGUGGCGAAGGCGGCUCACUGGACCAGUACUGACACUGAGAAGCGAAAGCAUGGGGAUCAAACAGG
rnacentral:rRNA from 1 species